UGGGGGAUAGUGAGGGGAUAAAUUUCCUUAAGGAACUCGGCAAAAUCCCAAUGGCCCACCAGGGCAUAAAUUGGAACACGGGCCUCGACUGUUUACCAAAAACAUAGCCCUCGGCCAAUAUGAAAAUAGAAGUAUGGAGGGUGAGGCCUGCCCAAUGGUUGUAUCUAAAAGCGGUUGAUAAAAGUCGACCGUGUAAGGACAAUUGAAUGGCCGCGGUAACACUGACCGUGAUAAUGUAGCGUAAUCAAUAGCCAAUUAAUUGUUGGCCAGUAUGAAUGGCGCCACGAAGGCCCCACUGUCUUAAGGAAAUUCCCAGUGAAAUUGAAUUCGUAGUGAAGAUGCUACGUCCAAUUUGUUAGACGAAAAGACCCCGUUGAGCUUUACUGGGGCACUUACACGGCCCCGGCCUUCAAGACUGGGUUGAUAAGCCAAGGCUUACCAUACCUAGGGACCGGCCGAAUUUAAAUGGGCGGCUUAGACUAUGUGGCAGCCCCCCCCGUCGGGGCAGAUGAAACCCCACUCCCCCAUGUCAAAGGGGCUAACCCCCCCCCCUUGGGGGGGGACAAUGUAAGUAGGACAGUUUGGUUGGGGCGACCGCCUUUUAGAGAGUAACGAAGGUGCGCUUAAGGUGCGUAAUUAAUGACUGAAGCCUGACUGCGAGGGGGAUACCCCGAGCAGACACCCCCAAGCCCGCCCGAGAAGGCUUUGCCUUCUGGGCGGCGGUGGGGUGGGCCAUAGUGACCCGUUAAUUUAGAGUGGAAUAGUUAACGAUCAACGAAUAAAAG
rnacentral:rRNA from 1 species